CGCCCCUCGCGACCAGGUUGGCCUGCACCUUGCGGCUCCUACGGCGGGGGGCGCGCCGGAAGCCGGAGCUGGGAGAGGCCGGCGACGUCGCACGGGAAGGUACCGUAGAAGGACCGGCAGCCUGCCAGUGUAGCGGGAGGCUGACUCGCAGGGCCUGGACAUCCCAUUUAUGUCAUAACACGGCCCAAAGACCCGGAUGCUGUGUCCGAGAAGGUCACUCUGCCUUGCUUCCUACUCCUCAGGAAAGAUGACAGGUUAUGGAAGAUAAUGAGAGCGAGAGCACAAGCAGGGGAGCAGCAGAGGGAGAGGGAAAAGCAGACUCCCCACUGAGCAGGAAGCCUGAUAUGGGACUUGAUUCCAGGACCUUGGGAUCACAACGCAAGCCGAAGGCAGACACUUAACCAACUGAGCCAUCCAGGUGCCCUGCAUCUGGAGGAGACUGGGGGCAGUGGGGAGAACGAUGCCUUCUGCAUCAAAGGAAGCGGGUCUCAGAGGUGCCAGCCCUGCGAGGAGAUGAGAGGUCAGCCGGGUUGUCUGGAUCCAGUUUUUACCAAAAUGAUGGACCAGAGAAAGAAGGAACCUUAGACAGUCUGACCUAGUUACAUUUGCAUUUUCCCAGGAAAAAUGACUGUAAAAUUCCUCAGAAACACUUGGAGUCGUUUUCUGGCGCAGAGAGGAAGAAGGCGGGAGAAACAAUGACACUGCGUUCAGGGCUGAAAAGAGAAGAAAGCUCAACUGGGGAGUGCAGGGCGAUGCUAGAAGAAAGCCAGGGUCCCACCUGGAUCCUCUGGGAGAAAAGGAUGAAAAAGGGAACUGGCUUGGCAAGGAGACCUGUCCCCAGCCAUCUGCACAUGCAGGAGAAGCUGGCCACCGAAGGCACUGCACGUUCCCAGGCAGGAACGACGGGUGGCACUCAACAGCGGAGAAGAAAAAAAUCAUCAGAUACUGACACGUUCUUUAAGAUCAUGAAGUUGAUUUUUAUUUAGGGGUGCCUGGGUGGCUCAGCGGGUUAAAGCCUCUGCCUUCGGCCCAGGUCAUGAUCCCAGGACCCUGGGAUGGAGCCCCGCAUUGGGCUCUCUGCUCAGUGCAGAGCCUGCUUCUCUCUCUCUCUCUCUCUCUCUCUCUCUCUCUGCCUGCCUUUCUGCCUACUUGUGUUCUCUGUCAAAUAAAAAAAAAAAAAAAAAAAAAAAAAAAAAGAUCAUGAAGUUUACUUUCCCCAAAGAAUCUUUUUAAAAUCCCACACUGAUUUGGCAACUUUCUCAUUAUCAUGCCCUGUGGCACAGCAGCACGUAAGGCCCGGGUGGUUUCCUGAGGGGAAAUCCCGAUCUCCUGGAUUACAUAAAAUAAAAACAUAAAAGAAGAAGGAGAAAAAGGAGCAGAGGUAGAAGAGGAAGGAGAAGGAGAAGUACAACCUUCUAGCCACAUUUGUUGGGAGGAUCCAGUGACUGGGCCUCUGAAGCUCUUCGCGGAUCCCCUGGCCUGGAGCAGGUGUUUGCUCAAUGCCGUCGUUGCUUCUACUGACAUAGUUGUGCGAGUAUCUCGGGAUUAGGCGCUGAGUACCCAGGGCCACACUGGCUUUGUCGGGGAGAGGGUCAUCCAAACUCAGUGGAGUGUGGUGGAGACUGCUAGAUGUUUUUUGCAUCAAACAUCUCUUAGGCGAUGCUUGAGAUCUUUCAGCCUCCUCUGUCUCAGACUUUGGCCUCUUGUCUGGGCCCAGCUGCUGCUGGAGUGUACCAGCUCUGCCCGUCUUCUGACUUCACGCAGAUGCCAUGUGAUGGUCACGCCCCUCAGGACCUGUGCCAUUUGCGGGCUGACUCCCCUUGCUGAGGUUUCCCUGUUGUGGAAAGAGUCCUUAAAAGAAUGGACAUGCCCUUUUCUUUCUCAGAGCAUGAGCAGGGGGGAGGACCAGAGGGAGAAGCAGACCCUGCUGAGUGUGGAGCCCAAGGCAGGGCUCGAUCCCAGGACCCUGAGAUCAUGACCUGAGCAGAAGACAGACAUCUAACCAAUGAGCCACCCAGGCACCCCUAAGAAUAGAUAGGCUUUUCUCUUUUUUUUUCCCCCUCCUGGUUUUGAUGUGAGCAUGAUGGCUGGAGCUAGGGCAGCCCUUUUGGCCACGAAGUAGAAGCCGUAUGUUGAGGACGGCGGAGCGCAAAGACAACAGGAGCUGGGGUCACUGCGGAAUGGGCAGGCAGCACACCAGGUCUAGACUGACUAUCUGGAUAUGAUUUUGAGAAAGAAAAGUUUCUAUCUUUUUAGAAGACUAUUAUGUGGGGUUUUCUGUCACUCUCUGCUAAGCUGAAUCCUAACUAUUCAACUAGAAAAUAGGCCUUCCAUACGAAUGAAAUGAAGGGAAAGGGAGAAAAAACAUCAUCAUGUGUGAGUUCAGAAGCAUGGAACAGCGGCACUGGAUCCAGACGUCAGUGUUUUUACCAACAUCACAUUCUAUCAUCUCUUCUAAAUUGAGGGUAUGCGAGCCAGAUGCCCAGUGACUUGGUCACCUUUGAGAUAACAGAAUACUGACAUUCCAGACUAGCAAAAAGCAAACAAAACACUCUCCAUCCAGAAAGCUGACCUGUCAGUGCUUCUCAUCUAUGUGUGUGUGUUUUUUUUUUAAAGAUUUUAUUUAUUUAUUUGACAGACAGAGAUCACAAGCAGGCAGAGAGGCAGGCAGAGAGAGAGGAGGAAGCAGGCUCCCUGCUGAGCAGAGAGCCUGAUGCAGGGCUCCAUCCCAGAACCCUGAGAUCACGACCUGAGCCGAAGGCAGCAGCUUAACCCACUGAGCCACCCAGGCGUCCCGCUUCUCAUCUAUGUUAAUGUUUGGUAUUAGUCGCAGUAGUAUUUACUGUGGGUCAGGCUCUGUGCUGAGCUCUCCAAAUAGAAAACCCAGGCAACCACGCUCUGUGAAGGAAAUGUCUGAGAGGGUCAGAGCACUGGCCUGGGAUUCCAGUUGAGAAGUUUACCAGCAUCCUGGCUAAGACAGUAGCCAAGUUAGGGAGGAGGGGGUGGGCUGUAAGACUCCUUAAGAGAUGAUAUUCACAGGACUUUAUGACUGACGGAAGCAGAGGCUGAAGGGGUUCAGAAUUAUUCUCAGGUUUCUAGGAUGGAGGUCUGGCUAGGAGAUGGCUUCACAAAUUGAGAGGGAACACACACGAAGGAAGAGAAGGAGAAGGAAGGGGGGAGGAUGAGGCUUAGCAGAGAAGGUAGAGAAGAUGAUGGGUUCCACCCUGGGCAUGUUGAAUGUGAGUUAUCCCUGGGCACCAAGGAGAGAUGGAAACAAGAAAUGAACAGACGAGCCUGGAUCUCGGGGAGAAGGCUUGGUUAGAACACUUGUGGAAUGAUUUUGUAAUGUUUUGUUUGUGACGUUGUGCUUCCCAGUAGACUGAGUUUUGUGGGGGAGGAAUAGCCUUGCUAAUCUUGUAUUCCUGGAACUUAGAACUGAGCCUACAACAUAGUCAAUGCUCUAUGAAUGUUGGGGCAGUGAUUGGCAGUAAAAUAAAUGAAUGAAUGAAUUUCAAUCCAUCAAAAAGUUACACAUUUUUGUCAUCUCAAGUUGCGACUCCAUAUAUGUUCGAAUGGAAACAUGUUUACAGAGCUCGGUUGGCUGCAGAGUACCAUGGAUGGGGUCCAUUGUGUUUUCAUGAGCUUCUGCAGGCUGGCCUCAGCACAGAGCCACCCUUCAGUUAUGGCCACAGGAAAAAAAA